CAAGGCUAUAGCCUAUCCGUUUUUGUGGCAUUUUUCCGUUGGACGAACUUGGCGACCCGGCCUUCGGGCGGUUAAUUUUCGGCGCGGCUUUGCCCGCGGCCUAUUUUUGGCACACGGAGGCCCCACGGAAAGUCUCGUGGCAUUCGGAGUCCGGCGGACGAAGUUCGCCAGCCGCACCCUCCAAGGCUAUAGCCCACCCGUUUUUGUGGCCUUUUUCCGCUGGACGAACUUGGCGCCCCGGCCUUCGGGCGGUUAUUUUGGGGCGCGGCUUUGCCCGCGGCCUAUUUUUGGCACACGUAGGCCCCUCGCAAAGUCUCGCGGCAUUCCGAGUCCGGCGGACGAAGUUGGCCAGCCCCACCCCCCAAGGCUAUAGCCCACCUGUUUUUGAGGCCUUUUUCCGCUGGACGAACUUGGCGCCCCGGCCUUCGGGCGGUUAAUUUUGGGCGCGGCUUUGCCCGCGGCCUAUUUUUGGCACACGGAGGCCCCUCGCAAUGUCUCGCGGCAUUCCGAGUCCGGCGGACGAAGUUGGCCAGCCCCACCCCCCAAGGCUAUAGCCUACCCGUUUUUGUGGCCUUUUUCCGCUGGACGAACUUGGCGUCCCGGCCUUCGGGCGGUUGUUUUUAGGCACGGCUUUGCCCGCGGCCUAUUUUUGGCACACGGAGGCCCCUCGCAAAGUCUCGCGGCAUUCCGAGUCCGGCGGACGAAGUGGGCCAGCCCCACCCCCCAAGGCUAUAUCCCACCCGUUUUUGUGGCCUUUUUCCGCUGGACGAGUUUCGCGCCCCGGCCUUCGGGAAGUUAAUUUUGGGCGCAGCUUUGUCCGCGGCCAAUUUUUGGCAAUAGGAGGCCCCUCGCAAAGUCUCGCGGCAUUCCGAGUCCAGCGGACGAAGGUUGCCAGCCCCACCCCCCAAGGCUAUAGCCUAUCCGUUUUUGUGGCAUUUUUCCGUUGGACGAACUUGGCGACCCGGCCUUCGGGCGGUUAAUUUUCGGCGCGGCUUUGCCCGCGGCCUAUUUUUGGCACACGGAGGCCCCACGGAAAGUCUCGUGGCAUUCGGUGUAACACCCUAGGCGAAUCCCACAUCGGCAAAGCACGGGAGAGAUGCGGGGUUUAUAAGGGGUGAUCCACACCUUAAUUGGCAAGACGCGUUUUGGGGUGUAUGGGCGCCCCAAGAACAAAUCCGUGCGGGCCUUGUUAAGGCCCAAAGCGGACAAUAUCUUGCCAGGUCUGGGUUGGGUCAUGACAUUAUGGUAUCAGAGCGGCUCCGCGUGUCCUCUUGAGCGAUGGUGGGGCAAACCUCAGCGAGGACGCUGAGUCCCCAAGGGGGGGUGUAUGUAACACCCUAGGCGAAUCCCACAUCGGCAAAGCACGGGAGAGAUGCGGGGUUUAUAAGGGGUGAUCCACACCUUAAUUGGCAAGACGCGUUUUGGGGUGUAUGGGCGCCCCAAGAACAAAUCCGUGCGGGCCUUGUUAAGGCCCAAAGCGGACAAUAUCUUGCCAGGUCUGGGUUGGGUCAUGACAUUCGGAGUCCGGCGGACGAAGUUCGCCAGCCGCACCCUCCAAGGCUAUAGCCCACCCGUUUUUGUGGCCUUUUUCCGCUGGACGAACUUGGCGCCCCGGCCUUCGGGCGGUUAUNNNNNNNNNNNNNNNNNNNNNNNNNNNNNNNNNNNNNNNNNNNNNNNNNNNNNNNNNNNNNNNNNNNNNNNNNNNNNNNNNNNNNNNNNNNNNNNNNNNNNNNNNNNNNNNNNNNNNNNNNNNNNNNNNNNNNNNNNNNUUCCGCUGGCAGAACUUGGCGCCUCGGCCUUCGGCCGGUUAAUUUUGGGCGCGGCGAUGCCCUCGGCCUAUUUUUGGCUCACGGAGGCCCCUCGCAAUGUCUUGCGGCAUUCCGAGUCCGGCGGAGGAAGUGGCCCAGCCCCACCCCCCAAGGCUACAGCCCACCCAUUUUUGUGGCCUUUUUCCGCUAGACGAACUUGGCGCCCCGGCCUUCGGGCGGUUAUUUUUGUGCGCGGCUUUGCCCGCGGCCUACUUUUGGCACCCGGAGGCCCCUCGCAAAGUCUCGCGGCAUUCCGAGUCCGGCGGACGAAGUUGGCCAGCAUCACCCCCCAAGGCUAUAGCCCACCCGUUUUUGUGGCCUUUUUCCGCGGGACGAACUUGGCGCCCCGGCCGUCGGGCGGUUAUUUUUAGCUGCGGCUUUGCCAGUGGCCUAUUUUUGGCACACGGAGGCCCCUCGCAAAGUCUCGCGGCAUUCCGAGUCCGGCGGACGAAGUGGGCCAGCCCCACCCCCCAAGGCUAUAUCCCACCCGUUUUUGUGGCCUUUUUCCGCUGGACGAGUUUCGCGCCCCGGCCUUCGGGAAGUUAAUUUUGGGCGCAGCUUUGUCCGCGGCCAAUUUUUGGCAAUAGGAGGCCCCUCGCAAAGUCUCGCGGCAUUCCGAGUCCAGCGGACGAAGGUUGCCAGCCCCACCCCCCAAGGCUAUAGCCUAUCCGUUUUUGUGGCAUUUUUCCGUUGGACGAACUUGGCGACCCGGCCUUCGGGCGGUUAAUUUUCGGCGCGGCUUUGUCCGCGGCCUAUUUUUGGCACACGGAGGCCCCUCGCAAAGUCUCGCGGCAUUCCGAGUCCGGCGGACGAAGUUGGCCAGCCCCACCCCCCAAGGCUAUAGCCCACCCGUUUUUGUGGCCUUUUUCCGCUGGACGAACUUGGCGCCCCGGCCUUCGGGCGGUUAUUUUUGUGCGCGGCUUUGCCCGCGGCCUACUUUUGGCGCCCGGAGGCCCCUCGCAAAGUCUCGCGUCAUUCCGAGUCCGGCGGACGAAGUUGGCCAGCAUCACCCCCCAAGGCUAUAGCCCACCCGUUUUUGUGGCCUUUUUCCGCGGGACGAACUUGGCGCCCCGGCCGUCGGGCGGUUAUUUUUAGCUGCGGCUUUGCCAGUGGCCUAUUUUUGGCACACGGAGGCCCCUCGCAAAGUCUCGCGGCA
rnacentral:lncRNA from 1 species